rnacentral:SRP_RNA from 1 species
UGGUGCCUCCGCAACAUGAAACCGUGAACCCGGUCAGGCCCGGAAGGGAGCAGCCGCAGCGGUGGAAUUGUGUGCCGGGGUUUCGCUG